UCGCCGCUGGUCGCGUUCCUCGCUGUCCGUCCUUGCCGUUGCCCGGCGUCGUCGCCGACUGUCCUUGUGGCGGGCUCAGUCCUUGCCGGCCGAACUCGUCGCCGGGCUUCACCCAUGCUCUCGAGCAUCCCCCACCUAUGGGGCACACACGCCAUGGCAAAAGCUUCAACCGGGGCUUCAAAUAGCACGGCAAAUCAGGUUGCAGCUUUCGCCGUUCAUGGUUGUGGCCCUUUGCCGUUCAUGGUUUGUAGCAUUUGUUGCCGCCGGGCCGUCGUGGGUUUGAAGCUUCUUGUUAAAUGGUUGUAGCAAAUGAAGACACCGGUUGCAUCAAAAAAAAGUCAUCGCGGUCGCUGGUCG